rnacentral:misc_RNA from 1 species
GAAAUGCGAUAAGUAGUGUGAAUUGCAGAAUUCAGUGAAUCAUCGAAUCUUUGAACUCACAUUGCGCCCCUCGGCAUUCCGUGGGGCAUGCCUGUUCGAGCGUCAUCUACACCCUCAAGCUCUGCUUGGUGUUGGGCGUCUGUCCCGCCUCCGCGCGCGGACUCGCCCCAAAUGCAUUGGCAGCGGUUCCUUGCCCCCCUCUUUGCGCAGCACAUUGCCAUUCGAGGCGGCGGCGGCCCGCGUCCAACAAGCUCAACCCCCCCGUCUUUGACCUCGGAUCAGGUAGGGAUACCCGCUGAACUUAAGC